CAAUGGCUCAGUAAACAAUGAGAACAAUGGCUCAUCAAGCAUAGUGUCAAUUCUGACAGGCAGGCAGUCAUUUCUAACUGUGCGACUAUAUACUGGUAUCCAGCAACUGGAGGGGAAGAAAACAGCCUUGGAAGGGCUUUUGAGCAGGAAAAUCUCUAAUGGAGAGAGAGUUAAGCACCUCUUCCCUACCUCCAGUCUUCUGCUCAAGUCUACAAUCACCUGCAGCUGCAUUCCGGAUAAAACAAAACAGCAGUCAACGCAAAGUUACAUGCAGUUGCAUAUCACAUGUAGUUUGGACCUAAUGUUCAUGUGUUUGGGCCUAAUGUUCAAUAAUAAAGAACUAGGCCUUUU